CGCUGUGGAGAGCAGGAGUGCCCGGCCUGCCCAUUGUUCAUACAGAUUCUCACCAAUGGAGCCUAGCCUGACCGUGACUUCACAACAUGCUAGCCGGCAGCUCAACUUGGCUCUGCAAGGAGAACGAUGACAGGUGGAUCUCACAUUGCGUCCAAGAGGAACUGAAUGUUACAGUGGAUGCCAGCCGCGUAGUUGGAAACAAGCUGGAGUUCGUUUGAGCCGAUGGCAUCAUCAGUGACACCCAGAAGUUUGCCAGAAGGCAACAAUGGAUGUUUUGUGGCUGAUUUCUCAGCUAGCUGGCUAGAGACUGCAGUGCUUCAUGCACAAUGAGGGCUAUAUGGAGGCUGUGGAGAGCAGGAGUUCCUGGCUUGACCAUAGUUCAUACAGAUUCUGCUGAUGGAGCCUAGGCUG